CCAGACUCCUACGGGAGGCAGCAGUGGGGAAUAUUGCACAAUGGGGGGAACCCUGAUGCAGCGACGCCGCGUGGGUGAAGGAGCACCUCGGUGCGUAAAGCCCUAUCGGCAGGGAAGAAAAGCGAACAGGUUCGCCUGGACGGUACCUGACUAAGAAGCCCCGGCUAACUACGUGCCAGCAGCCGCGGUAAUACGUAGGGGGCAAGCGUUAUCCGGAUUCACUGGGUGUAAAGGGAGCGUAGACGGCCAUGCAAGCCAGGGGUGAAAGCCCGGGGCCCAACCCCGGGACUGCCCUUGGAACUGCAUGGCUGGAGUGCGGGAGGGGCAGGCGGAAUUCCUGGUGUAGCGGUGAAAUGCAUAGAUAUCGCGCAGAACCCCGAUUGCGAAGGCAGCGUGCCGUGCCGCCACUGACGCUGAGGCACGAAAGCGCGGGGAUCGAACAGGAUUAGAUACCCGAGUAA
rnacentral:rRNA from 1 species